GAUCAUCUCAACCCUUACCUGAAGAAGUUGAUACACCCAGACCAAGUAGGAUUUAUAACAGAUAGACAACUUUUUGAAAACACCAGACAGAACAUCGACCUUAUCUGGAGACAGAAAACCGUACGCACACUGACUCUAUUGGUCUCCAUUGAUGCAGAGAAGGCCUUUGAUAGGGUAGAAUGGCCCUAUUUAUUUAGCCUCCUGGACUACCU